AUUGAACGCUGGCGGCAGGCCUAACACAUGCAAGUCGAACGAGUGGCGGACGGGUGAGUAAUGUCUGGGAAACUGCCUGAUGGAGGGGGAUAACUACUGGAACCGGUAGCUAAUACCGCAUACCAUCGGAUGUGCCGAGAUGGGAUUAGCUAGUAGGUGGGGUAACGGCUCACCUAGGCGAAGAUCCCUAGCUGGUCUGAGAGGAUGACCAGCCACACUGGAACGCAGACACGGUCCAGACUCCUACGGGCGGCCGCAGUGGUGAAUAUUGCACAAUGGGCGCAAGCCUGAGGCAGCCAUGCCGCGUGUAUGAAGAAGGCCUUCGGGUUGUAAAGUACUUUCAGAGGGGAGGCGUUACCCGCAGAAGAAGCACCGGCUAACUACGUGCCAGCAGCCGCGGUAAUUC
rnacentral:rRNA from 1 species